rnacentral:rRNA from 1 species
UAGGGAAUCUUCCGCAAUGGGCGAAAGCCUGACGGAGCAACGCCGCGUGAGUGAUGAAGGUCUUCGGAUCGUAAAACUCUGUUAUUAGGGAAGAACAAAUGUGUAAGUAACUAUGCACGUCUUGACGGUACCUAAUCAGAAAGCCACGGCUAACUACGUGCCAGCAGCCGCGGUAAUACGUAGGUGGCAAGCGUUAUCCGGAAUUAUUGGGCGUAAAGCGCGCGUAGGCGGUUUUUUAAGUCUGAUGUGAAAGCCCACGGCUCAACCGUGGAGGGUCAUUGGAAACUGGAACACUUGAGUGCAGAAGAGGAAAGUGGAAUUCCAUGUGUAGCGGUGAAAUACGCAGAGAUAUGGAGGAACACCAGUGGAGAAGGCGACUUUCUGGUCUGUAACUGACGCUGAUGUGCGAAAGCGUGGGGAUCAAACAGG